rnacentral:rRNA from 1 species
UGGGGAAUAUUGGACAAUGGGGGCAACCCUGAUCCAGCAAUGCCGCGUGAGUGAUGAAGGCCUUAGGGUUGUAAAGCUCUUUUACCCGCGACGAUGAUGACGGUAGCGGGAGAAUAAGCCCCGGCUAACUUCGUGCCAGCAGCCGCGGUAAUACGAAGGGGGCUAGCGUUGUUCGGAGUUACUGGGCGUAAAGCGCGUGUAGGCGGUUGUCCAAGUUGGAUGUGAAAGCCUUGAGCUCAACUCAAGAAAUGCAUUCAGGACUGGAUGACUAGAGGACCGGAGAGGAUAGUGGAAUUCCCAGUGUAGUGGUGAAAUACGUAGAGAUUGGGAAGAACACCAGUGGCGAAGGCGGCUAUCUGGACGGUUUCUGACGCUAAGACGCGAAAGCGUGGGGAGCAAAC